GACGAACGCUGGCGGCGUGCUUAACACAUGCAAGUCGAACGGAAAGGCCCUGCUUUUGUGGGGUGCUCGAGUGGCGAACGGGUGAGUAACACGUGAGUAACCUGCCCUUGACUUUGGGAUAACUUCAGGAAACUGGGGCUAAUACCGGAUAGGAGCUCCUGCUGCAUGGUGGGGGUUGGAAAGUUUCGGCGGUUGGGGAUGGACUCGCGGCUUAUCAGCUUGUUGGUGGGGUAGUGGCUUACCAAGGCUUUGACGGGUAGCCGGCCUGAGAGGGUGACCGGCCACAUUGGGACUGAGAUACGGCCCAGACUCCUACGGGAGGCAGCAGUGGGGAAUAUUGCACAAUGGGCGGAAGCCUGAUGCAGCAACGCCGCGUGCGGGAUGACGGCCUUCGGGUUGUAAACCGCUUUCGCCUGUGACGAAGCGUGAGUGACGGUAAUGGGUAAAGAAGCACCGGCUAACUACGUGCCAGCAGCCGCGGUGAUACGUAGGGUGCGAGCGUUGUCCGGAUUUAUUGGGCGUGAAGGGCUCGUAGGUGGUUGAUCGCGUCGGAAGUGUAAUCUUGGGGCUUAACCCUGAGCGUGCUUUCGAUACGGGUUGACUUGAGGAAGGUAGGGGAGAAUGGAAUUCCUGGUGGAGCGGUGGAAUGCGCAGAUAUCAGGAGGAACACCAGUGGCGAAGGCGGUUCUCUGGGCCUUUCCUGACGCUGAGGAGCGAAAGCGUGGGGAGCGAACAGGCUUAGAUACCCUGGUAGUCCACGCUGUAAACGGUGGGUACUAGGUGUGGGGUCCAUUCCACGGGUUCCGUGCCGUAGCUAACGCUUUAAGUACCCCGCCUGGGGAGUACGGCCGCAAGGCUAAAACUCAAAGGAAUUGACGGGGCCCCGCACAAGCGGCGGAGCAUGCGGAUUAAUUCGAUGCAACGCGUAGAACCUUACCUGGGUUUGACAUGGAUCGGGAGCGCUCAGAGAUGGGUGUGCCUCUUUUGGGGUCGGUUCACAGGUGGUGCAUGGCUGUCGUCAGCUCGUGUCGUGAGAUGUUGGGUUAAGUCCCGCAACGAGCGCAACCCUUGUUCACUGUUGCCAGCACGUUAUGGUGGGGACUCAGUGGAGACCGCCGGGGUCAACUCGGAGGAAGGUGGGGAUGACGUCAAGUCAUCAUGCCCCUUAUGUCCAGGGCUUCACGCAUGCUACAAUGGCUGGUACAGAGAGUGGCGAGCCUGUGAGGGUGAGCGAAUCUCGGAAAGCCGGUCUCAGUUCGGAUUGGGGUCUGCAACUCGACCUCAUGAAGUCGGAGUCGCUAGUAAUCGCAGAUCAGCAACGCUGCGGUGAAUACGUUCCCGGG
rnacentral:rRNA from 1 species